rnacentral:rRNA from 1 species
UACGAAGGGGGCUAGCGUUGCUCGGAAUCACUGGGCGUAAAGGGUGCGUAGGCGGGGUCUUUAAGUCAGGGGGUGAAAUCCUGGAGCUCAACUCCAGAACUGCCUUUGAUACUGAGGAUCUUGAGUACGGGAGAGGUGAGUGAACUGCGAGUGUAGAGGUGAAAUUCGUAGAUAUUCGGAAGAACACCAGAGGCGAAGGCAGCGAAUUGGCCCUAUAUUGACGCUCAGGCACGAAAGCAUGGGGAUCAAACAGG